rnacentral:rRNA from 1 species
CAGUCGCCGCGGGAAUACGUAGGGUGCGAGCGUUAAUCGGAAUUACUGGGCGUAAAGCGUGCGCAGGCGGUUGUGUAAGACAGGUGUGAAAUCCCCGGGCUUAACCUGGGAACUGCGCUUGUGACUGCACAGCUAGAGUAUGGCAGAGGGGGGUGGAAUUCCACGUGUAGCAGUGAAAUGCGUAGAGACGUGGAGGAACACCGAUGGCGAAGGCAGCCCCCUGGGCCAAUACUGACGCUCAUGCACGAAAGCGUGGGGAGCAAACAGGAUUAGAUACCCCCGUAGUCCCUGUCUCUUAUAC